AAUAGAUACCCUGGUAGUCCUUGCCGUAAACGAUGUAUACUUGGUGUAGCCGGAAUCAACCCUGGCUGUGCCGGAGCUAACGCGUUAAGUAUACCGCCUGGGGAGUACAGUCGCAAGGCUGAAACUCAAAAGAAUUGACGGGGACCCGCACAAGCAGUGGAGCAUGUGGUUUAAUUCGAUGCAACGCGAAGAACCUUACCCAGGCUUGACAUGCAGUAGACAGCGCUAGAAAUAGCGUGUUCCUUCGGGACUGCUGCACAGGUGCUGCAUGGCUGUCGUCAGCUCGUGCCGUGAGGUGUUGGGUUAAGUCCCGCAACGAGCGCAACCCUUAUCGUUAGUUGCCAACAUGUAAAGAUGGGAACUCUAAUGAGACUGCCUGGGUUAACCAGGAGGAAGGUGAGGAUGACGUCAAGUCCGCAUGGCCCUUAUGCCUGGGGCUACACACGUGCUACAAUGGCCGGUACAAAAGGCAGCGAAGCCGUGAGGUGGAGCAAAUCCCAAAAGCCGGCCCAGUUCAG
rnacentral:rRNA from 1 species